UACGUAGGUGGAAAGCGUUGUCCGGAUUUACUGGGCGUAAAGAGCGCGCAGGCGGCCGAGUAAGUCGAAUGUGAAAGCCCCCGGCUUAACUGGGGAGGGUCAUUCGAUACUGUUCGACUUGAAGGCAGGAGAGGGCAGCAGAAUUCCCGGUGUAGUGGUGAAAUGCGUAGAUAUCGGGAGGAAUACCAGUGGCGAAGGCGGCUGCCUGGCCUGUUCUUGACGCUGAGGCGCGAAAGCUGGGGGAGCAAACGGG
rnacentral:rRNA from 1 species